UUUGUUCCUGCUACCUGCUGAUCUGGAUGUAGAACUCUCAGCUCCCUCUCCAGCACCGUGUCUGCCUGCAUGCUGCCAUGCUUCCCACCGUGAUCAUAAUGGACUAAACCUCUGAAUCGCUCAGGCAUUCAGAGCCUGCUGCUGUUACUUAACCACAGUGGAAAGAGGAGUUUGACACAGAAAGAAGGUCAGAGAGGUGAAGGAUUUUAGUUUAGACAAAACCUCCUAUGUUACACUCUGGAGGAGUUACAAAGACCGGUGCCGACACUGGUGAUGAUGGGGACAGCCUGAUGAUGGUGACAGCGGUGAUGAUGGCGACCGUGGUAGAGGUUGUAUCAUCAUUUGACUAUGGGUGCUCACCAAUUUACAGUGGGGUUUGGUCCCAGUACAUCUACCGAAUGCUGAAAAUAUCCCAAGUGGAACAAUACAUUGAAUAUACCUCAUCUAUUUCACACUUUGGUUCAGCAAUGUGGUCUACACCGGACACCCAAACAUCCAAACUCAAAAUUGGAACUACAGUUUCUACCGAAAGUGUGCUGCUUUCACACCACCAUGAACUAAAAGAACUGUUGUGGCUGUAAACAUGAUUUUGGUUUAGUCCCAGGUGUGGGAUGUGGGACUGACUUUCAGAUGGUCCAUACCAGCCAAUUAUUUGCCUCAUACAGGCUGAGAGGAGCUCUUUGCCAGCUCCAGACAGUUUAAACCUGAGGCCUCUGGAGAGAGAAUAAAUGCCAGAGCCCAGAGAGUGUGUAGUAGCUCUUGAGAAAGAACAAGGCUGCUGCUUCCCCCCUUCAGCUCCUGUUGCUGUUGUUGCAGUGGGACAAGAAAUUGGAGAUUCUUGAAACAAGGAUUGUACUGGCUCCAAGGAACCCAAUAACCCUAACCAGCAGGAAGCAGCUAAGAGAACUGUGCCCCCUCUCCCACUAAGCCUUUCUCCUACCUGGUAUUGGGGUAUUGGAAGGGAUUGUGGUGGAGUAGGGAGAAAGAGAUAUAAAAUAUGUACAUAAAAGAGAUUUUUAAAAGUAUGCCAACAAAGAAGCAAAAGCUGAGCCACCUCUAUGUCAUAGGCCAUCUGUUUAACUUCUGGGAGCCAGAACAGAUCACCUUGCCCUGUCUCAGAGAGGAAGACUGAGGGAAAUGUCCUGUGUCUUACCCUCUCUGCUAGAAGACAGAUAGGCAGUGGAAGCCAGAGACCACUAUGUCUUCCAGACUAUCCCCAAGCCUCCAUGAUGGAUGAGUGAGGAGGUCGUUGUCUCUGCUCCUAAGGUCUUUCCUUUGUUUCUGGAUAUCAUCCCUUACUCCUCUGCUCAUCACCAUCUCUGCAAGUUUACCCUUCUGCUUCUGCUUAUCAGAGUUGCUCAAAUCUCAGUCCAGAUGUUUUGAGCUCUGGACCUACAGUAGUGUAAUGAAAGCCCAUGAAGCUCUUGCCUCACUGCUUUUAGUUGUGCAAAAAAGCACAAAUUUUGGAGGUCAGAUAUCUAAGCAACACAUUAGUCUCCCACUAGCCUUGCUGAAGAUAACACCUCUGAUAUGUGGGUCAUGAUGAUAAUGUUGUCUAGGCUAUUUUUCAGGGGAGAGAAGGCCACUUUUGUUGAAACCAUUGACUCUUAAGGUGGGCUUGUUUGAUGGGCCAUUUCUUGCUACCACGGGACCAAAAUCUCCAUUCUCAGAUCAUGCUGAUAUCUUGUUUUCUGAACAUAUAAGUAUCCUGUAAGGAUCAACCGUGUAUUACAUCACUUCCAGUCACCUUUCCCUAAAUCUGGUCCCCCACCCCACUUUAGUUUUUUUGAGACAGGGUUUCUCUGUGUGGCCCUAGCUGUCCUGGAACUCACUAUGUAGACCACGCUGGCCUCAGACUCACAGAGACACACCUGCCUGUGCCUCCCAAGUGCUGGGAUUAAAGGUGUGUGCUACCGUUGCCCCUAUCUUUCUUAAAUCUUAAAUCACUCUGCUACAUCCAUAACCACCCUCCACCAUGUCCUUUGGGAGGUUGUUAGAAGUUGGUCUGAUGCAUGUUGCUGGCCCUCAAGAUCUGGAUAUGCCUAUCCUUGUUUUGUAAACCUGCCUAAGAUAUACCUAAUUGGUUGAUUAAUGGCCUAUACCUGGGCAGGGCAGAAUGAGAUAGGCAUGGCUAAGGUUCCUAGGAUUUGGGGUGAGAACCACGGGAAACAGAAACAGAUGGAAGGGAAGAGAGAAAGAAGGAGGAUGCCAUGAUGGCUUAUUGUGGAGAAGAAAACCCUUGGGCUCAGAGGAAGGACUCCAAUAAUGACAUGAAAAGGCCCAGGUGAAGAAUAUAAGCAAGUACCAUGGGAUUAUGGAUGGAAGGUAGUCCAGAGAGCAAUGAUUAAGGCAGACGGCAUUGGGUGGGGGCUGGGAGAUGGAUGGUGUGGUUAUUGAGCCAGGGCAGGUGCAAUAUCUGCCCGGCCCAAGGUAAAUAAGACAAUUAUAAAUCUAACAGGGGUCUGUGUCUUAUUGUUUGUGAUAGCAGGUUAAAUUAUACCUCCGUGAUAAUCUUGGGGCUAAUAAUGAACAUUAUAUAGCCCAACGUUUGCUUUAUUUUAUAAUUUACAACAGGAGGUGGAUUUGAGAUUUGGCCUGAAUCUAUGAAUAUACUCUGUUUUGCAAAACUUAUCAUUUCAGUAACCAGCAUCCUGCACCAGGGCAAAGAGUCCUGGUUCCAUACCACGUACAUUUAGCCUUUGCCCCUAGUUGCUGAUAUAGACCUCCUAAGACAGCUCAAAGGGAAGGGAAAUUGGUCAUCGAUUAUGCAUUUGUUAUUUUGUUAUAACCAAAUUUUAUAAAGAGCUGCUUUUGGUAAUACCUGAGUUCAUGCUAACGAGGCCAUUUAAACUGGCUACCCUAGGCAGCCAGCCCAGCUGAUUACCAGAGAGAACCAGUGUUUGGAGGCUGACCUCCAGGAAGAGGCCAGAGGCAGCCGGGAUGUCCCCGCUGGGCAACAACCCUCCUCCGAAGACUCACUUCACUGGCUGGAAAACUUUGUCUACGCUCUGGGCUCUGAAAGUUGAGAGCCCUCCCUCCCCCUAGGAGUGGAACGGACGCUGCCUUGCUGAGGGGUGGAUCAAGGCUAGCUUACGACCUUCAGAAAGUCUUAGUUUCCACCGCGGACCUAGCUUUCAGGUGUUCCGGCGGCCGCGACUCCCCGCCCCUGGCCCUCCCCUUGGGAUCUAGCCCCAGGCCAGCAUCCUCCUCCCUCUCGGUCCCGGGCAGCCGCAGCUAAAAGCGGGAGGCUCCCGGCUGAAUCCACUCUCCGCUCUGGAGCCCGGCUAGGCUGAGCCAGGGAGGGCGAGCCCAGGCCCCUUCCGCGGCAGGGGUCGCUGAGUUUCCAGGGGAGUCUCCAACGCCGCGCCCCCUGCAGGACGAGUCCCGGGCCCGGAUGCUGUCAUGGAGCCCUCCGGGGAGCAGCUGCAAAGUUCCGAGGCGCGCAGCUCUUCCGGGGACCCCCGGACCGCGGAGGAGCUGUCGGUCCCCGAGGUCCUCUGCGUGGAGAGCGGCGCCUCGGAGGGCCCGAUCCCCGACGCUCAGCUCCAGGACGAGCCCCAGUGUCCGCCGAGAGAGGCCGCCCUCCCGGAGGAGGGGUACCUCCGCCCUCGUGCGCGCUUCUUCUCUCUGCCCGCCGACCCCAUCCUGCAGGCGGCCCGGCUCCUGCGGGGGCGGCAGCAGGAGGCGGGGCAGGCCGGCUCCGAGGGUGGCGGGCCGGCCGGGGACUGCUGCGCCAAGUGCAAGAAGCGCGUGCAGUUCGCAGACUCCCUGGGGCUGAGCCUGGCCAGCGUGAGGCACUUCAGCGAGGCGGAGGAGCCGCGGGUGCCGGCCGCCGUGCUCUCCCGCCUGCACAGUUUCCCGCUGCGCGCCGGGGACCUGCAGCAGCUGCUGACGGCGGCGGAGGGGCCCUCGCCCCCCCUGGCGCCGCCGCUGCCGCGCGUCCGCCUCCGACCCCUCUUCCAGCUCCCGGGGCCCGGCGCCGCGGAGGAGCGGCUGCGGCGGCAGCGAGUGUGCCUGGAGCGCGUGCGCUGCCCGCAGCCGCCGGGCGCCGACGUGACCGGCUCCGGCCGGGUCCUCAGCUCCCCCGGACCCAGGGCGGUGGCUGUGCGCUACACCUUCACGGAGUGGCGCAGCUUUCUGGACGUGCAGGCCGAGCUGCGUCCCGUGUCACCGCCGCCCCCGGGGCUGUCCGGGGACUCUCUGGCAGGGGUUGGGGACCGAGAGGAGGAGCCGGCCACCGAGCGUUUCUGCUUCACGCUGUGCCUGCCCCCGGGUCUGCAGCCCGGAGAAGGGGAGGACGCCGAGGCGAGGGACGUCGCUAUCCACUUUGCCAUCUGCUACCGCUGCGAACAGGGCGAAUACUGGGACAACAACGACGGAGCCAACUACACCCUGCGCUAUGUGUGUUCCACAGACCCUCUCUGAGGAUGGGAGCCUCGGGACUGGGAAAGAGGCUGACCAGAACCUCCAGCAAGGGCUCUCCGGGGACCCUUAGCCGAGCGUCGCAGAUUUAGCAUUAACCGAGCUUGGAGCGAAAGGAGCCAAGUGUUAAACCAUAAAUUCUGAGCGAAGAUCCACGCACCAGCAGGCGCAGCGGGUCUGGCAAUGUUCUGAUCCCUCACUCCUCUCAUCGCUUCCACUGCCCUUUCUACUCGCCUUCUAGAAUUCUCAGCCUGCAUUGGGAUAAGGAACACCCCAGCUCCCUGAGCUGAGGUUCUCUCUAAGAAAGGGGCUCUGGAACUCCGAGCCAGGAUCUGUGACCUUGGAGAUUUGUUUCUCACUUGAGAUGUCCUUGCAGCUUAAUGAAAACUGGCCGAGAAAGGACAAGGCAUCCAUGUCCACGUGGGAGAGGAAGGUCCUUCCUUACACGUGCAACCUUCACAGCCAGGCUGGAGUCUCAGAAGGCUAGGGUUUUUGGACUUGAAACUGAGCUCCUGAGCAGAAGCACCAGGCCCAUCCAGCUCCCUAUGUGGGUAUCAACACAAGAAGCAAUUUUCAUCAAUGGGUCCCUAAAGCUGCAAAGCACUGCAAAGACUGAAAAAGGAAGAUCAGCUCCAUCUAGACUCUAGGUAUACAAGACAUACUUCUGAGCUCAAGAGCUGUACAGCUGGAUGAAUGAGAACCAAGCGUGACACACAGUUCCACAGACAGCUCCUAGCACAAAGGGGCCAUAACCUGCCCCCAGUGCUUGACACAGUCCUCGCACCCUCUCUGAGGAAUGCGGGAAAGGAUUCCAAGAAGAGACCUCGUUCAAGAUCCCAGGUAGGGUGAGAAGCCAGAAGGUAGGCUGGUGCCAGCGAAGGUGAAUCUGGCAAGGGAGUGCUCCCUUCCUGAGAGACUCUCACGGACAUGGCAACACAACAGCUUCAGCACACUCAUGAACGAAGAAGCCCUGGAUCUGGAAGACUAUUCUUAGGCUUCACUUGAGUUCAGUGACAAAAGCUGUCUCAGGGGUUUUGUUUUGCCCUGUCAGUCUCAAAUACGAUCUGGUAUAUACAACAUUCUUUGGGUCAAUUUCUGAUGUGUUUCAGUUCACACAGGGUAGAUUAUUUAUUGCUCUCAACAGCAAGAGGAAGAAAACCCUGACCCAGGAUCUAACCCUGACAAUAAUGCCUGCCAGAGUGACAAGCCCUAUUCCAGGAUAAUUUGUAGAGAUGUCACCUUUUGCCUUUGCUGUGUUCAGUUUCUUCACUGGAGUGACAUAUUCCCAUCACUUAGUUUUGGGAUCCUAGUACAGAAAGCUGCAGAGUUUAAAACAAUCUCCAGUGCUUUUACUAUCCAGGGUUUGUUACUGUUGUUACCGAUGGAAACAUCCCAAAUUGUGCUAAGGCAGAGCAGUGGAGCCCCCAGAGAUGCAAGAACACAAAUGUUCCUUUCUAUUGGAAUAAGUGGUAAAGGAAGCCCUUUACAUCUUCAGUCCUUAGGAAGUGUCCGGGCAGAGCCGGGCCACCAGUGCAAUUGAUUAUAAUGCUCAAGCUCAGGGACUAGAAACCAAUCCUUCAAGAUGAUGGGGAGAUCAGUACAGCUGCUAUAAAUACUCACACAUCCAAGGGAUGCAAACUGCAGAAAGGCAUAGCACAAGGAAAUGUAUGUAGAAAUAGCUAAGGAACAGUGUAAGGAUGAUUUUGUACACUUAUACCUCAAAGAUAUGGACACAUGCCCACACAGGAAGGUGUCCGAGGAUAUCUCCAGCAGUAUAAGCCACAGCUACAAAGAAGUAGAAAGAACACAAAUGCAUGUUCAGUGAUGAGAAGAUGGCGGUAAAGGCGGCAGAUCCACAUGGACUAUUAAUCAUAAAAGGAAUGAAAUUUGGAUAUAAGCUACAACAUGGAUGACCUGGGUAACAUUAUGUUAAGUGAAAAAAGCCACAGACAGAGAAGGUCACACUUUGUUUGAAUCUGCUCAUCUGAAAUAACUAGAACAUGCAAUCUGUAAAGACUGGAUACAGAUUAUUUGGUUGGGAAUGGAUAGAGAAGAAGGGAGAAUGAGGAAUGACUGAAUGACUGUGGGGUUCCUGAAUGGCACCCUGAAAAUGUUUUAAAACUGAUUUUAUUGUUUGCCACACACAGAUGACCCUAAAAACAGGAAUACACUUCAAAUAGGUAUAGUUUAUGGCAUGGUGAAUCUCUGUGAAGAUGGAAAAGAUGCUAAACGACUUUGUAGUUAUUGCUGCAAUGCCAACUAGACAGUGUUGUCCUAUGUGACAUGGGGCCAUUGGACAUUUGAAUCAUGGCUGGUCUAAGCUGAGAUGCUUUUUGAUCAUAUACAUAGAGUUUUCAAGAUUAGUUUUAAAUACACUGAGUUUAAGACAAUGUAAUCCUAGACCUAAGCUUUCCUGAUUAUUUUUUUUUAAAUACUAUUAUUAGGUAACAAUUUUUUGGCUGGCUUGAAUUUAUACCUUUUAUUAUAUAUACUUUUGGAUACUAUAGAUUUGAUAUCUUUUAAAAUCAAUGGCAAAUCGCUCAACUUGGCUGUCAAUGAAAAUAUGCUGGACUUUGAGUCACUAGCAUACAACAUGAGAAUUUUUCCUGUGCUGCAAAUCUGUCUAAACAAUUGUCUAGCUAUAUUUUAGGUAAUUGGACUGGAGAAUUCAAUACUACGAUGGAGCAGCUGAGAGUGGCCAUUGUCACGGUAAAUUCUACCAGAGUGGACACAGGACUAGCCACAGGAUUACCAACAUGGAUUGCUGCAGCCAUGAAUCAUCUGAAGGAAUGGGCGGGCAUGGGAGCGUUAGCAGGCCUUCUGGUGUUGGUCUCCUUGGUUUGCCUGUGGUGUAUAUGCAAGAUUAGAGUCUCACAACAGCAUAAUGCAGCCAUGAUCAGUCAGGCCUUUACAGCCAUUGAAGCAGGACAGUCUCCCCAAGCAUGGUUGGCUACCAUAAAAAGCUAAAAUGUUACGCUCAGGAUGUGAGGCUAAGCACUGCACUCAGGGUCAGCUGCUUUCGACCCAGAGAAGAGCAUGUCUGAUUGCAUGCAGGUUGAUGCCCCAGGUCCCACCUCUGAGAAAAAGGUAUUGGACGGGUCUGAUGCUCUUUGGCUGGAUGACACCUAAAUGAACAUCGGUACAAAGUCCCAAUUUAUUUCUAAUAUCAGAGAUCAGACCUCUACUCUUGCCUGAUGCGUCUAAAACAAAAAGGGGGAACUGUAGAGAGCUAAGGAAUGCUGUGCCUUAAAGAUGGAGCUGGUUUCCGCCUUCCACCUUCCCGAUGGUGAGUGUUCUCUGUCACAAACAACUCCACAUUUGGCUAAGGCUGAGGAUCUGGCUUGCUUCCAUGUAUGUGGACCUAUCUGCAUUGCCCACGUGGCACGCUGGGGUUGGCUACCCAGAGGCUAUUUAAGCUGUGGGCUGGCUUUCCCCGGGGUCAGAUGAUUGUUCA